CCCCUGGUGGUGUCGUGGCUAAGACUCUGCACUCCCAAUGCAGGGGGCCUGGGUUUGAUCCCUGGUCAGGGAA
rnacentral:tRNA from 1 species